rnacentral:rRNA from 1 species
GACGAACGCUGGCGGCGUGCUUAACACAUGCAAGUCGAGCGGUAAGGCCCUUUCGGGGGUACACGAGCGGCGAACGGGUGAGUAACACGUGGGUGACCUGCCCUCAGCUCUGGGAUAAGCCUGGGAAACCGGGUCUAAUACCGGAUAUGACUCCAUGACGCAUGUUGUGGGGUGGAAAGCCUUGUGCGGCUGAGGAUGGGCCCGCGGCCUAUCAGCUUGUUGGUGGGGUGAUGGCCUACCAAGGCGACGACGGGUAGCCGGCCUGAGAGGGCGACCGGCCACACUGGGACUGAGACACGGCCCAGACUCCUACGGGAGGCAGCAGUGGGGAAUCUUGCGCAAUGGGCAAAGCCUGACGCAGCGACGCCGCGUGAGGGAUGACGGCCUGGUGUAA